rnacentral:rRNA from 1 species
ACUCCUACGGGAGGCAGCAGUGGGGAAUAUUGCACAAUGGGCGCAAGCCUGAUGCAGCCAUGCCGCGUGUAUGAAGAAGGCCUUCGGGUUGUAAAGUACUUUCAGCAGUGAGGAAGGUGGGUAUGUUAAUAGCAUACUCAUUUGACGUUAGCUGCAGAAGAAGCACCGGCUAACUCCGUGCCAGCAGCCGCGGUAAUACGGAGGGUGCGAGCGUUAAUCGGAAUUACUGGGCGUAAAGCGCAUGCAGGUGGUUUGUUAAGUCAGAUGUGAAAGCCCGGGGCUCAACCUCGGAAUUGCAUUUGAAACUGGCAAACUAGAGUACUGUAGAGGGGGGUAGAAUUUCAGGUGUAGCGGUGAAAUGCGUAGAGAUCUGAAGGAAUACCGGUGGCGAAGGCGGCCCCCUGGACAGAUACUGACACUCAGAUGCGAAAGCGUGGGGAGCAAACAGGAUUAGAUACCCUGGUAGGACAGC